rnacentral:rRNA from 1 species
UAGUCCACGCCGUAAACGAUGUCUACUAGCAGCUUGCCUUAUUAACAAGGUAUUUUGCGCAGCUAACGCAUUAAGUAGACCGCCUGGGGAGUACGGCCGCAAGGUUAAAACUCAAAUGAAUUGACGGGGGGCCCGCACAAGCGGUGGAGCAUGUGGUUUAAUUCGAUGCAACGCGAAGAACCUUACCAUCCCUUGACAUCCUCAGAACUUGUAAGAGAUUACUUGGUGCCUUCGGGAACUGAGAGACAGGUGCUGCAUGGCUGUCGUCAGCUCGUGUUGUGAAAUGUUGGGUUAAGUCCCGCAACGAGCGCAACCCUUAUCCUUAGUUGCCAGCGCGUAAUGGCGGGAACUCUAAGGAGACUGCCGGUGACAAACCGGAGGAAGGUGGGGACGACGUCAAGUCAUCAUGGCCCUUACGGGAUGGGCUACACACGUGCUACAAUGGCAGAUACAAAGGGUUGCGAACUCGCGAGAGCAAGCGGAUCCCAUAAAGUCUGUCGUAGUCCGGU